GGUAUAGCUGAAAUGGCUGGGGGUGAGGAGAAAUCAAGAUAUGAGCUGUUAGAAAUUAGUGAUCCAUCUACCCUUCUUGUGAGAGGGGAAAACAAAGAUGUCAACCUCAACGAUUGCCAGGAGCUUGCUAGACUGCAACAUGU